AGAUCUGAAAUUUAUCGUGAUAAUUAUCGAUAUCGACUGAUAUGAAAAAUUUUAGCGUGAUAAUUUUUUUUGCCCACAUCGGCCAGCACUAGACAAAAGAUAACAGUCCUCUGUCUCCUAGCAACAGCAUCAUCUUCUCAUCUGAUAACAGAUCAGUGUCCAUCAGUCCAGUGCAGAGAUCAGACAGUGGAGAAUAUCAAUGUACAUAUAGAAACCCUGUCAGCUCUGAGACGGCAAAACUCAACCUGAUCAUCAACUAUGGACCAGAAGAUGUUUCUGUUAUGGGUGAGGAUGUGGUGGAUUUAGGGGUUUGUGUGUCACUCUCUUGUUCUGCAAACUCUGAACCUGCUGCUUCAUUCAGCUGGAAGUUUAAUGGAACAGACACCAGUGUGACCACAGACACAUUCACCA